rnacentral:rRNA from 1 species
AGCCAUCAUUUAAAGAAAGCGUAAUAGCUCACUGGUCGAGUCGGCCUGCGCGGAAGAUGUAACGGGGCUAAACCAUGCACCGAAGCUGCGGCAGCGACACUAUGUGUUGUUGGGUAGGGGAGCGUUCUGUAAGCCUGUGAAGGUGUGCUGUGAGGCAUGCUGGAGGUAUCAGAAGUGCGAAUGCUGACAUAAGUAACGAUAAAGCGGGUGAAAAGCCCGCUCGCCGGAAGACCAAGGGUUCCUGUCCAACGUUAAUCGGGGCAGGGUGAGUCGACCCCUAAGGCGAGGCCGAAAGGCGUAGU